rnacentral:tRNA from 1 species
UGGAGAAUUACCCAAGUCUGGCUGAAGGGAACGGUCUUGAAAACCGUCAGGUGGGCGUAAGUCCACGCGAGGGUUCGAAUCCCUCAUUCUCCU